GACGAACGCUGGCGGCGUGCCUAACACAUGCAAGUCGAACGGAAAGGCCCUGCUUUUGUGGGGUGCUCGAGUGGCGAACGGGUGAGUAACACGUGAGUAACCUGCCCUUGACUUUGGGAUAACUUCAGGAAACUGGGGCUAAUACCGGAUAGGAGCUCCUGCUGCAUGGUGGAGGUUGGAAAGUUUCGGCGGUUGGGGAUGGACUCGCGGCUUAUCAGCUUGUUGGUGGGGUAGUGGCUUACCAAGGCUUUGACGGGUAGCCGGCCUGAGAGGGUGACCGGCCACAUUGGGACUGAGAUACGGCCCAGACUCCUACGGGAGGCAGCAGUGGGGAAUAUUGCACAAUGGGCGGAAGCCUGAUGCAGCAACGCCGCGUGCGGGAUGACGGCCUUCGGGUUGUAAACCGCUUUCGCCUGUGACGAAGCGUGAGUGACGGUAAUGGGUAAAGAAGCACCGGCUAACUACGUG
rnacentral:rRNA from 1 species